CAUCGUUAUUCUUAUUAUUGUUUUUACUCCAUCUUUUCUGAUGCAUAAACGUAACUGCUGCAACUGACUCUUUCAGGUGGUUAUCAGACAUCAUUAUUUUGUGUCAGUAUUUUGUCACUGAUUCAUGUGCAUAUGUCUGUUGUUGGACCUGAGGAACUUUUGUAAUCUUACAUAAUUUCAAUUUAAUCUGAUGUUUAUCUGAGAAAUUAAAGAGAUACCUACAGAACGGGAACAUAGUUUGGCCCAAAAAUUGACUCUAUACUACACUGGUUGAUACCUACAGAACGAGAACAUAAUUUGGCCCAAAAAUUGACUUUAUACUACACUGGUUUUCAUUUCAAUUGUUGAAUUGCACUUCCCAGGCAAUUUACUUGUUCAUUAAGUACUUAUGUAUUCUGAACUUUCAAAUUAUGUGGAGAAAAUUAGCAUUUAUAUCUUGCAAGAAAGUCUAUGCAAUCACUAAAUUUGUUCAACUGUUCCUGUCUUAGUUCCCUUUUAAGUUAUUCGGCUUGGGGGUAGGUAUUUGGAGAGAGCAGGCAGAAACAUCUUUAUGAACUUGUGGAUCUGAACUUGUGGAUCUGAACUUUGAGAAGCCUCUCAAGAUUACUGUCAUCUCCACUAUGCCAUACAUUAAUCGAGUUACUUUCCAAUGUAGAUGUGUAGCUAUGCUGGUGGUUUGAUUUGCUUAAAUUUUUCUAAUGUAACGAAGGCAUUCCUUAUAACAUCUCAUCUGUGUGGAUGAUGCUUUGUAUCGAACAAGAUAUUACUAUAUGUAUUAGU
rnacentral:lncRNA from 1 species